UGCCUACGGGGGGCAGCAGUGGGGAAUAUUGGACAAUGGGCGCAAGCCUGAUCCAGCCAUGCCGCGUGAGUGAUGAAGGUCUUAGGAUUGUAAAGCUCUUUCACCGAUGAAGAUAAUGACGGUAGUCGGAGAAGAAGCCCCGGCUAACUUCGUGCCAGCAGCCGCGGUAAUACGAAGGGGGCUAGCGUUGUUCGGAAUUACUGGGCGUAAAGCGCACGUAGGCGGAUAUUUAAGUCAGGGGUGAAAUCCCGCAGCUCAACUGCGGAACUGCCUGUGAUACUGGGUAUAUCGAGGAUGGAAGAGGGGAGUGUAAUUCCGAGUGUAGAGGGGAAAUUCGUAGAUAUUCGGAGGAACACCAGUGGCGAAGGCGGCUCACUGGUCCAUUACUGACGCUGAGGUGCGAAAGCGUGGGGAGCAAACAGGAUUAGAUACCCCAGUAGUCAG
rnacentral:rRNA from 1 species